UAUCUCUGUAGAGUCUGCAUAUCAAUAAGCGGAGGAAAAGAAACUAACUAGGAUUCCCUCAGUAACGGCGAGUGAAGCGGGAAGAGCUCAAAUUUGAAAUCUUCAAGGUUUUACCUUGACGAAUUGUAGUUUAAAGAAGUGUUUUCUGUUAGUGGAGUGGCAAAAGUUCUUUGGAAUAGGACAUCAUAGAGGGUGAGAAUCCCGUAUUUGGUCAUUCCUCCUAGCGUUGUGAUACACUUUCAACGAGUCGGAUUGUUUGGGAAUGCAGUCCAAAAUGGGUGGUAAAUUUCAUCUAAAGCUAAAUAUUGGCGAGAGACCGAUAGCGAACAAGUACCGUGAGGGAAAGAUGAAAAGAACUUUGAAAAGAGAGUUAAACAGUACGUGAAAUUGUCAAAAGGGAAGCGUUUGACACCAGUGUUGUUUUCUCGAAAAUCAAUUAAAAAUGAUGGGAUUUUGUGUUGUAUUGACUUUAUCAGCUUUCUGCACUCUUUUCUUGUCCUUUUUAAUGCACUUUUCGUUUAACAAGUCAACAUCAAUUUCUUUUGUUGUAAAAGGGUCAUUGGAAGGUGGCUUUCUUUUCGGAGAAAGUGUUUAUAGCCUUUGACUUCUGCAAUCGGAGAGAUUGAGGUCUGCAGCGUAGAUCCUUCGGGGUUAGAUGCAUUUGUGCUAAGUUAUAGCCUUUCAUAGACAACUUGUUGACUAUGAUCAGUCAUGUAGCUUACUCGCUUAUGCUAUUUUACCUACGCUUAGGAUGUUGAGUAGCGACAUACGCAC
rnacentral:rRNA from 1 species